GACUAAGCGUACACGGUGGAUGCCCUGGCAGUCAGAGGCGAUGAAGGACGUGCUAAUCUGCGAUAAGCGUCGGUAAGGUGAUAUGAACCGUUAUAACCGGCGAUUUCCGAAUGGGGAAACCCAGUGUGAUUCGUCACACUAUCAUUAACUGAAUCCAUAGGUUAAUGAGGCGAACCGGGGGAACUGAAACAUCUAAGUACCCCGAGGAAAAGAAAUCAACCGAGAUUCCCCCAGUAGCGGCGAGCGAACGGGGAGGAGCCCAGAGCCUGAAUCAGUGUGUGUGUUAGUGGAAGCGUCUGGAAAGGCGCGCGAUACAGGGUGACAGCCCCGUACACAAAAAUGCACAUGCUGUGAGCUCGAUGAGUAGGGCGGGACACGUGGUAUCCUGUCUGAAUAUGGGGGGACCAUCCUCCAAGGCUAAAUACUCCUGACUGACCGAUAGUGAACCAGUACCGUGAGGGAAAGGCGAAAAGAACCCCGGCGAGGGGAGUGAAAAAGAACCUGAAACCGUGUACGUACAAGCAGUGGGAGCACAGAGCAAUCUGUGUGACUGCGUACCUUUUGUAUAAUGGGUCAGCGACUUAUAUUCUGUAGCAAGGUUAACCGAAUAGGGGAGCCGAAGGGAAACCGAGUCUUAACUGGGCGUUAAGUUGCAGGGUAUAGACCCGAAACCCGGUGAUCUAGCCAUGGGCAGGUUGAAGGUUGGGUAACACUAACUGGAGGACCGAACCGACUAAUGUUGAAAAAUUAGCGGAUGACUUGUGGCUGGGGGUGAAAGGCCAAUCAAACCGGGAGAUAGCUGGUUCUCCCCGAAAGCUAUUUAGGUAGCGCCUCGUGAAUUCAUCUCCGGGGGUAGAGCACUGUUUCGGCAAGGGGGUCAUCCCGACUUACCAACCCGAUGCAAACUGCGAAUACCGGAGAAUGUUAUCACGGGAGACACACGGCGGGUGCUAACGUCCGUCGUGAAGAGGGAAACAACCCAGACCGCCAGCUAAGGUCCCAAAGUCAUGGUUAAGUGGGAAACGAUGUGGGAAGGCCCAGACAGCCAGGAUGUUGGCUUAGAAGCAGCCAUCAUUUAAAGAAAGCGUAAUAGCUCACUGGUCGAGUCGGCCUGCGCGGAAGAUGUAACGGGGCUAAACCAUGCACCGAAGCUGCGGCAGCGACGCUGAUGCGUUGUUGGGUAGGGGAGCGUUCUGUAAGCCUGUGAAGGUGUGCUGUGAGGCAUGCUGGAGGUAUCAGAAGUGCGAAUGCUGACAUAAGUAACGAUAAAGCGGGUGAAAAGCCCGCUCGCCGGAAGACCAAGGGUUCCUGUCCAACGUUAAUCGGGGCAGGGUGAGUCGACCCCUAAGGCGAGGCCGAAAGGCGUAGUCGAUGGGAAACAGGUUAAUAUUCCUGUACUUGGUGUUACUGCGAAGGGGGGACGGAGAAGGCUAUGUUGGCCGGGCGACGGUUGUCCCGGUUUAAGCGUGUAGGCUGGUUUUCCAGGCAAAUCCGGAAAAUCAAGGCUGAGGCGUGAUGACGAGGCACUACGGUGCUGAAGCAACAAAUGCCCUGCUUCCAGGAAAAGCCUCUAAGCAUCAGGUAACAUCAAAUCGUACCCCAAACCGACACAGGUGGUCAGGUAGAGAAUACCAAGGCGCUUGAGAGAACUCGGGUGAAGGAACUAGGCAAAAUGGUGCCGUAACUUCGGGAGAAGGCACGCUGAUAUGUAGGUGAAGCGACUUGCUCGUGGAGCUGAAAUCAGUCGAAGAUACCAGCUGGCUGCAACUGUUUAUUAAAAACACAGCACUGUGCAAACACGAAAGUGGACGUAUACGGUGUGACGCCUGCCCGGUGCCGGAAGGUUAAUUGAUGGGGUUAGCGCAAGCGAAGCUCUUGAUCGAAGCCCCGGUAAACGGCGGCCGUAACUAUAACGGUCCUAAGGUAGCGAAAUUCCUUGUCGGGUAAGUUCCGACCUGCACGAAUGGCGUAAUGAUGGCCAGGCUGUCUCCACCCGAGACUCAGUGAAAUUGAACUCGCUGUGAAGAUGCAGUGUACCCGCGGCAAGACGGAAAGACCCCGUGAACCUUUACUAUAGCUUGACACUGAACAUUGAGCCUUGAUGUGUAGGAUAGGUGGGAGGCUUUGAAGUGUGGACGCCAGUCUGCAUGGAGCCGACCUUGAAAUACCACCCUUUAAUGUUUGAUGUUCUAACGUUGACCCGUAAUCCGGGUUGCGGACAGUGUCUGGUGGGUAGUUUGACUGGGGCGGUCUCCUCCUAAAGAGUAACGGAGGAGCACGAAGGUUGGCUAAUCCUGGUCGGACAUCAGGAGGUUAGUGCAAUGGCAUAAGCCAGCUUGACUGCGAGCGUGACGGCGCGAGCAGGUGCGAAAGCAGGUCAUAGUGAUCCGGUGGUUCUGAAUGGAAGGGCCAUCGCUCAACGGAUAAAAGGUACUCCGGGGAUAACAGGCUGAUACCGCCCAAGAGUUCAUAUCGACGGCGGUGUUUGGCACCUCGAUGUCGGCUCAUCACAUCCUGGGGCUGAAGUAGGUCCCAAGGGUAUGGCUGUUCGCCAUUUAAAGUGGUACGCGAGCUGGGUUUAGAACGUCGUGAGACAGUUCGGUCCCUAUCUGCCGUGGGCGCUGGAGAACUGAGGGGGGCUGCUCCUAGUACGAGAGGACCGGAGUGGACGCAUCACUGGUGUUCGGGUUGUCAUGCCAAUGGCACUGCCCGGUAGCUAAAUGCGGAAGAGAUAAGUGCUGAAAGCAUCUAAGCACGAAACUUGCCCCGAGAUGAGUUCUCCCUGACUCCUUGAGAGUCCUGAAGGAACGUUGAAGACGACGACGUUGAUAGGCCGGGUGUGUAAGCGCAGCGAUGCGUUGAGCUAACCGGUACUAAUGAACCGUGAGGCUUAACCUUACAACGCCGAAGGUGUUU
rnacentral:rRNA from 1 species